ensembl:lncRNA
AACGUCCACGUUUCCCCUGGUCCAUCAGAACAUCGGUCGCCUCCCCUCAGCUGUCUGCAGCCUGCCCUGCCCCUAGGUGCUUGAGAGAUGCGCUUUCAAAUGACACGUUGAGAUUCAGCAGUCAAUACUCAAAUCUAGUGAGUCGGGAGCACAUUUCUUUCCCGAAUAAAAUAGUAACGGUAAGUAUGACUUCACUAAACUUUUGCUUCAGUUGUGUCUCUAGCCAUGUAUGUAUGUGCAUACACUGUCAAGUUGUAAAAUUUUUUCUUACUGUAGGUCAAAGUCUAGAGGUUUUUCUCAAAUUUUAAUGUCUAUCUUGAUCACCGGGAAUAUCGUUAAAAGAAAAUGCAGAUUCUAAUUCAGUAGGUCUAGGAGGCAGGCUGAGAUUCUGCUUUUCUAGUGAGCACCUUGAUAGAGCCUCCCACUUUGCACCGCCUCUUCCUGAGGCUGAGUGAGUAACUGAAUGAUCACCUAUCACGAAGCGAUAAUGGUUGGAAAUGUAAUUUUCAGAAUGUAUAGAGUAUAGCAGAAACUGUAAAAUUAAAAGUGGCUUGGGAGUCAGCUGAAUGCUUGUGCUUUUAUUCCCUUAAUACAGGUCAAGAAAGAGAAUACUUAGCCUCUCAUGUGCAAAAGUAGUAACUUUCCAAUUUCCUUUCUUGCUAGGGCAACCAGAUUUGCCCAAGAUGUUCCUGGUGUACUUGUUUUAUAGCUUAAAUAUUAAUAGAACCCCCUUUCUCUUUCUGAUAUGUCCUGACUGGAUAAUAAACUAUGUGAUGAACAUACUUCCAGCUCUCAAAGAUAUGAUUCUGUACAGCCCUCUGGUCAGAUAUUCCAGCGACUCAAUGAAUUCCUUUACCUACGAGGAAGAUGGCAGAGGCCAGGGUUUGUGCCGCCGUCUCCAGGGAAUAAAGGUGUCAUUGGAUGUCAAGGGGGGAACCCAGAGCUCUUCUGGCAGUAACAAGGUGGAGAAGAGUAAACAUUCUAUCUCAUCAACUUUAAGCUUGACCCUGUGGCCAACGGAAUGUGAAUUUCACAUAGAAUCCUUAUGA